UACGAAGGGGGCUAGCGUUGCUCGGAAUCACUGGGCGUAAAGCGCACGUAGGCGGAUUGCUAAGUCAGGGGUGAAAUCCUGGAGCUCAACUCCAGAACUGCCUUUGAUACUGGCGACCUUGAGUCCGGGAGAGGUGAGUGGAACUGCGAGUGUAGAGGUGAAAUUCGUAGAUAUUCGCAAGAACACCAGUGGCGAAGGCGGCUAUCUGGGCUGAAACUGACGCUGAGGCGCGAAGGCUAGGGGAGCAAACAGG
rnacentral:rRNA from 1 species